CUCCCCAUGCCAUCACGUGCUCGGGAAGAAACUAUCUGCCUCAGAAUUGUUCCUUCUUGCCAAGACAUAGUAUGAUGCCCUGACUCUGGGACAUUUGACGGUGUAUGGCACAAGAGGCUGUUGGUCGAGUUUGAGCAGCUCGGCAUCACAGGACAUCAGUCUACAAGACCGGUGAAUGGGUUCACGCACAAAAAUAAAAUAUGCCGCCCACACCUGGCAUCCAACACGCCCAUCCUGACAGUGACAGCUAUAUCGUCCAACACUGUCACUAUCAGUGCCUGUGUCUGAUAGUGACAGUACAGUGCCCUUCACAGAAGUGGUAGAGCCAAGCGUGUCUGAUGCGCAGUAACCGCAAUUUAUGUGUUUAAGUACCGAGAAUACGUCACGCCAAAUAAGGGGCAACAUGAAAAUAGACUUAGACACAAUUCAUUUUUAGUUUCCGAAAUAAAUCCUUUUUGUAUGAAAUAAUGUGUUUUGUGCCGUUGUUCGCAUGUAAAAAAAAAAAAAAAAAAAUUGGAAGUCUUUCAAAUCAAAUCGUGUCCAUAACAAAUCAGCCAAAUUAUGUCCAAGAUGUGAGAGAGAGAGAGAGAGAGAGAGAGAGAGAGAGAGAGAGAGAGAGAGAGAGAGAGUUGUAUAGCCUACUGGUGGGUGACUUUCAAUGUCAUAAUUACACACUCAUUCAGUUGUAGAUAUCUCUCCGCGGGCAAGGUAGCAUAAUCAUAUUUCUUGUGGAAACUAAAGAAGCUGCCGAUUGAGGCUACCAAUUACCACUGAAUACACCUAUAUGACAAUCAACAGUGCAGGCAAAAGUCCAUGUAUGUCGACGAUGACGUCUCGUCACCUGGGCAGUGAACUGAUUUCCACCUUCUCUGAGCCUUGAAUCCAACGGCAUGGAAGCUCCAAGACGACCAGGAGACACUGGGGGCUGCAGGGGCCUGCCGUAGCAUCCAUUUAUAAAGCCUUCCUGUCCUGGCAACAUGAGGCAGCACUUACUGGGAUGUGCGGGCUGUGCACCACCAAGAGGAUCCCCUGCAGCCACCUCUUCCGCUGCUGAAGGAAGUCAUAGAUGGUGAAGGGAGACUUCUCCCACAUCUCUCCCUCAAUGAAGUCAAAAGAAUAGCCUUCCCGUAGUGCCACCAUGCCAAAGUAGUUGUCCUCGGCCACACUCCCAUCCGGGCCGUGGUCAAAGGUCACCCGCCGCUCGGCACCAGUCUGAAAGUGUGGUCUCCUUAUCAGGCGUUUACAGGAAUAAAGUGCCAGACGCAACAUUACAACACAUUAUGGAUUAAUUUAUUAAUAAUGACUAUAAAUACACACAUCUUAAGAAAAUUAUAAGCACUUCACGAUAAGGAUACAGGAAUAAUUCUCUGUGGUCAACAUUAAAAGCUUAUGUUUGUAUUCUAUGAUUCAAUAUCAGUAUUGCUUUUCUAAUUAAAUAGCAAUGUAAAUCUUUACCUGAGUAACAACAUAGGAACCCUUCCAGCCAAAGAGUGGCUUGUGGAAAACCUUGAAUUGGAACCUGAGCUUCCCCAUGUCAUCUGAGACUCGAAAGCUGUCUGCCAAAGUUGUGAACCAGUUCUUGAUGUUUUCAUUUGCAUAUGUUAUCAACCCCUGCAAUUUAUGAUAAAGAUAAUAUAAAUAUAUAUUAUAUUUUUCUUAUUAAUCUGUUAUAAAAUUUUCUAUUGUGUCAAUCAGAAUGAAUAUUUAUUAUUUACACUA